CGCACAAGCGGUGGAGCAUGUGGUUUAAUUCGAAGCAACGCGAAGAACCUUACCAGGUCUUGACAUCCCUUUGACCGAACCUUAACCGGUUCUUUCCUUCGGGACAAAGGUGACAGGUGGUGCAUGGUUGUCGUCAGCUCGUGUCGUGAGAUGUUGGGUUAAGUCCCGCAACGAGCGCAACCCUUAUCUUUAGUAGCCAGCACGUUAUGGUGGGGACUCUAGAGAGACUGCCGAGGAUAACUCGGAGGAAGGUGGGGAUGACGUCAAAUCAUCAUGCCCCUUAUGAUCUGGGCUACACACGUGCUACAAUGGUGGUAACAAAGGGAAGCGAAGCCGCGAGGUGGAGCAAACCCCAUAAAAGCCAUCCCAGUUCGGAUUGUAGUCUGCAACUCGACUACAUGAAGUUGGAAUCGCUAGUAAUCGCGAAUCAGAAUGUCGCGGUGAAUACGUUCCCGGGCCUUGUACACACCGCCCGUCACACCACGGGAGUCGGAAGCACCCAACGUCAGUGACCCAACUCGUAAGAGAGGGAGCUGCCUAAGGUGAAAUCGAUGACUGGGGUGAAGUCGUAACAAGGUAACCAAGGGCGAA
rnacentral:rRNA from 1 species